rnacentral:rRNA from 1 species
AUUGAACGCUGGCGGCAGGCCUAAUACAUGCAAGUCGAGCGGAUGAAGGGAGCUUGCUCCUGGAUUCAGCGGUGGACGGGUGAGUAAUGCCUAGGAAUCUGCCUGGUAGUGGGGGAUAACGUCCGGAAACGGGCGCUAAUACCGCAUACGUCCUGAGGGAGAAAGUGGGGGAUCUUCGGACCUCACGCUAUCAGAUGAGCCUAGGUCGGAUUAGCUAGUUGGUGGGGUAAAGGCCUACCAAGGCGACGAUCCGUAACUGGUCUGAGAGGAUGAUCAGUCACACUGGAACUGAGACACGGUCCAGACUCCUACGGGAGGCAGCAGUGGGGAAUAUUGGGCAAUGGGCGAAAGCCUGAUCCAGCCAUGCCGCGUGUGUGAAGAAGGUCUUCGGAUUGUAAAGCACUUUAAGUUGGGAAGAAGGGCAGUAAGUUAAUACCUUGCUGUUUUGACGUUACCAACAGAAUAAGCACCGGCUAACUUCGUG